rnacentral:tRNA from 1 species
ACAAAGAAAGCUACACAGCAAUUCGGUUUCGACCCGUAUCAAGAACUCAAAAGUUCUCUUUGUUC